rfam:Asian citrus Psyllid, Diaphorina citri - Florida Strain, whole genome shotgun sequence.
GCCUAGUUAGCUUGGAAAGUAGCGCGUCUGCCUUGUAAGCGCUAAGUCGUGGGUUCGAUUCCCACCCGGGGCG